GAAUCUAUCUCAUAAUGGGAUCUACUACUGUGCUGUUGCCUCAUGUGGACACAUACUGUUUGGAAAUGGGACCAAGCUGGAGUUGAAGAAUGAGGAGGUUUCUCUUGUCUUGGUGUAUUUCUUGAGUGGUGCUUUGGCGUUCACCACUAUCCUGACACUUUCACUGGCUGCCUUACUGUACACACACAAGAGAAAAGGCCAGCAAGUUACAGAGUCUGAUGCAAGAUUUUCGGCUUCAUAUCCAAUGAACUCAG